AGACCUGCUGCUCCCGGAUCUCACUCAAAAGACAGCAGGAGACCGUGAGCAUCAGUGUUCAAUUACAGCAGGACCUCAAGGACAGAGGUCAGACGGAGAGGAAAUUCCAAUCAAUCAGUACAGUGGACGAAGACUAACCAUGGGACGCACCGAGACUUUCCCAGUGGGCUACUCAACUUCAGUGCCACUGUCAUGACUAUAUUUAGAUACGUCCCAUCCACCUUCCCACUCCUGCUAAACCCCACCUACUGUUUGCCUUUCCAAAACCAGCAGAGCUCAGCAUCCCUGUGGCUGUGUUAAUAUUGUAAGCUGUACUGCUAUUUUAUGCUCUGCCAAUUCUAGGCAGUUCAUAAGACAUCUGCAUGCUGUUCAAAAGUUAUCAUUGAUUUCAAUGUGACUCUUCUGUCUUUUUUUUUUUUUUGGUCCUUUAUGGCUCAAGAAUUUGGAGUCAGGACAAGAUGCUAGCAGUGUACCAAUAAAUGUGACUUCCCAUCAUUUACUCAACAGUCUCACUUCCUGCACCACUAAACAGGUUAACUGAAAUGAUCAGUUAUUUAUUGUUCUGUCCAUCUGUGUAACAUUUUCUCUCCUGCUUCUUUUUCUAAAGACACCAGAUUACAUUUAAAUAAAUAAUGAACUGCUGUUUUUCCUCAUC
rnacentral:lncRNA from 12 species